rnacentral:rRNA from 1 species
AUGAUGGAUGGCACUGGCUGCGUGGAUGGCUGGGAGGUGAUGGUGCUGCUGGUGGAUGGAUGGCGCUGGUUGGCGCACCACCACGCCGGCGUCGCCGUGGCGGCGGCCGGAGGUGGAGAAGGAGGUUGGGGGAGAGAGAUGUGUGCCAGGCCCGAUCGGAUCCCUCCAGCGCCUAGGGAUUUUGUUCCCCUCCUCUCAUCUGCACUUUGUGAUUUGGCCAUCUUUCUUCUCUUCUUUCUUCACAAGAAGGUCCUCCCACUUCUUUAUCUAGCCCCCUGGUUACUUCUCUUCAUAUCACACAAGUCUCUUCUUCCUUCUCUUCUCUUCUUCACUCUUCUCGAUAGCCACAUAGACGGAAUCUUGACGAUUAUUAGUGCCUUUGCGCACAUUUCUGCAAGAUAG